rnacentral:rRNA from 1 species
UACGUAGGGCGCAAGCGUUAUCCGGAAUUAUUGGGCGUAAAGAGCUCGUAGGCGGUUUGUCGCGUCUGCCGUGAAAGUCCGGGGCUCAACUCCGGAUCUGCGGUGGGUACGGGCAGACUAGAGUGAUGUAGGGGAGACUGGAAUUCCUGGUGUAGCGGUGAAAUGCGUAGAGAUCGGCAGGAACACCCAGGGAGAAAUCAGCCGCCUGGGCAAGUGCUGACGCUGAGGUGCGAAAGCGUGGGGAGCGAACCGG